rnacentral:lncRNA from 1 species
UGUUCAUUGAUGUAUUAAAUCUCAAACAAAAAUUGUUUCACUACUCUUUUGAAUAGUAUAAAAAUUGAGUUGAAACUAUGAUAAAAAUUAAGUAUCAUUAUUUAUGAAAAAUUGAUUGUAGUAAAAUUAUGAAAAAACUCUCUAGUUAGAUUAUGAUCUGGAUCUAACUAAUGGGACUGAUCAUUAGCCACACGUUAGAAACACAUUCUCCUAGGCCUAGCCAGUCGGGAC